UGGAAGAUCUCACAGUGCCGAGCUCUGAGCGGACAGGAGUUCAAAGAGUAAACACUGAAACUCGAUACUGCAAUACUUUUAUUGUUUUAUGAACAUUUCACAAUGUGCCUCUUCGCUGGUCACUUUAUCAGAAACGGCUAUAAUUCUGUUAUAUGAAAUAUCUAUCUCUCACAUUUUCCUUUCUCUCUCCCUCUCUACGUACUCUCUUUAUGUCCUCCAUUAUCUUCACACCUCCUCACUUGACCAUCUCUCCGCUCCUCUGUAC